rnacentral:lncRNA from 1 species
UCUAACCCAUCUACAAAUGCAUACCACAAUAUUUGAGGAACCAAAGGGUCGUCAAAUCUUCAAUCAGAGGAUCUGACACCUCCAAGGCUCCCCCAACAGUUGCAGCAACUACUUUUCUGCAUUUCCCUCUAGCUUUGGUUCAGUUUCAGUGGAUUCGGAAUUCGAGGAUUGCUCCUCUGCGGAUGAGGUGGAUUUGAUCGGUUUCUUGAACUGCACCAAGAUCAUGGUCAUAUUAUCACAACCCUCACCGGUGGCUGUUGAUGGUGCUAAGCACUUGUCAAGUACCCUCUCACAAACAACAGAAAGCUUG